UACGAGGGGGGCAAGCGUUGUUCGGAAUUAUUGGGCGUAAAGGGUGCGUAGGCGGUCUGAUAAGUCAUCUGUGAAAUCUAUGGGCUCAACCCAUAGUCUGCAGGCGAAACUGUCGGGCUUGAGUAUGGGAGAGGUGAGUGGAAUUUCCGGUGUAGCGGUGAAAUGCGUAGAUAUCGGAAGGAACACCCGUGGCGAAGGCGGCUCUCUGGGACGGUACUGACGCUGAGACGCGAAAGCGUGGGGAGCGAACAGG
rnacentral:rRNA from 1 species